rnacentral:rRNA from 1 species
AACAGGAUUAGAUACCCUGGUAGUCCACGCCGUAAACGAUGUCGACUUGGAGGCUGUUCCCUUGAGGAGUGGCUUCCGGAGCUAACGCGUUAAGUCGACCGCCUGGGGAGUACGGCCGCAAGGUUAAAACUCAAAUGAAUUGACGGGGGCCCGCACAAGCGGUGGAGCAUGUGGUUUAAUUCGAUGCAACGCGAAGAACCUUACCUACUCUUGACAUCUAGAGAACUUUCCAGAGAUGGAUUGGUGCCUUCGGGAACUCUGAGACAGGUGCUGCAUGGCUGUCGUCAGCUCGUGUUGUGAAAUGUUGGGUUAAGUCCCGCAACGAGCGCAACCCUUAUCCUUUGUUGCCAGCGAUUCGGUCGGGAACUCAAAGGAGACUGCCGGUGAUAAACCGGAGGAAGGUGGGGAUGACGUCAAGUCAUCAUGGCCCUUACGAGUAGGGCUACACACGUGCUACAAUGGCGCAUACAAAGAGAAGCGACCUCGCGAGAGCAAGCGGACCUCAUAAAGUGCGUCGUAGUCCGGAUCGGAGUCUGCAACUCGACUCCGUGAAGUCGGAAUCGCUAGUAAUCGUGGAUCAGAAUGCCACGGUGAAUACGUUCCCGGGCCUUGUACGCACCGCCCGUCACACCAUGGGAGUGGGUUGCAAAAGAAGUAGGUAGCUUAACCUUCGGGAGGGCGCUUACCACUUUGUGAUUCAUGACUGGGGUGAAGUCGUAACAAGGUAAC